UACGGAGGGUGCAAGCGUUGUCCGGAUUUAUUGGGUUUAAAGGGUGCGUAGGCGGCUUUUUAAGUCCGGGGUGAAAGCCCGUUGCUCAACAACGGAACUGCCCUGGAAACUGGAGAGCUUGAGUACAGACGAGGUUGGCGGAAUGGAUGGUGUAGCGGUGAAAUGCAUAGAUACCAUCCAGAACCCCGAUUGCGAAGGCAGCUGACUAGGCUGUAACUGACGCUGAGGCACGAAAGCGUGGGGAG
rnacentral:rRNA from 1 species